rnacentral:rRNA from 1 species
AGUCGAGCGAGCUUGCCUAGAUGAAUUUGGUGCUUGCACCAGAUGAAACUAGAUACAAGCGAGCGGCGGACGGGUGAGUAACACGUGGGUAACCUGCCCAAGAGACUGGGAUAACACCUGGAAACAGAUGCUAAUACCGGAUAACAACACUAGACGCAUGUCUAGAGUUUAAAAGAUGGUUCUGCUAUCACUCUUGGAUGGACCUGCGGUGCAUUAGCUAGUUGGUAAGGUAACGGCUUACCAAGGCAAUGAUGCAUAGCCGAGUUGAGAGACUGAUCGGCCACAUUGGGACUGAGACACGGCCCAAACUUCUACGGGAGGCAGCAGUAGGGAACCUUCCACAAUGGACGCAAGUCUGAUGGAGCAACGCCGCGUGAGUGAAGAAGGGUUUCGGCUCGUAAAGCUCUGUUGGUAGUGAAGAAAGAUAGAGGUAGUAACUGGCCUUUAUUUGACGGUAAUUACUUAGAAAGUCACGGCUAACUACGUGCCAGCAGCCGCGGUAAUACGUAGGUGGCAAGCGUUGUCCGGAUUUAUUGGGCGUAAAGCGAGUGCAGGCGGUUCAAUAAGUCUGAUGUGAAAGCCUUCGGCUCAACCGGAGAAUUGCAUCAGAAACUGUUGAACUUGAGUGCAGAAGAGGAGAGUGGAACUCCAUGUGUAGCGGUGGAAUGCGUAGAUAUAUGGAAGAACACCAGUGGCGAAGGCGGCUCUCUGGUCUGCAACUGACGCUGAGGCUCGAAAGCAUGGGUAGCGAACAGGAUUAGAUACCCUGGUAGUCCAUGCCGUAAACGAUGAGUGCUAAGUGUUGGGAGGUUUCCGCCUCUCAGUGCUGCAGCUAACG